rnacentral:rRNA from 1 species
UGCGUAGGCGGAAAUAUAAGUCAGUGGUGAAAUCUUGCAGCUUAACUGUAAAACUGCCAUUGAUACUGUGUUUCUUGAGUAUAGUUGAGGUAGGCGGAAUGUGUAAUGUAGCGGUGAAAUGCUUAGAUAUUACACAGAACACCGAUUGCGUAGGCAGCUUACUAAGCUAUAACUGACGCUGAGGCACGAAAGCGUGGGGAGCGAACAGGAUUAGAUACCCUGGUAGUCC